rnacentral:siRNA from 1 species
AAGCAAGGAAGUUGUACCGGCAA